rnacentral:rRNA from 1 species
CCUACGGGCGGCAGCAGUGGGGAAUAUUGGACAAUGGGGGCAACCCUGAUCCAGCCAUGCCGCGUGUGUGAAGAAGGCCCUCGGGUUGUAAAGCACUUUCAGUGAGGAAGAACGCCUGGUGGUUAAUACCCAUCAGGAAAGACAUCACUCACAGAAGAAGCACCGGCUAACUCCGUGCCAGCAGCCGCGGUAAUACGGAGGGUGCGAGCGUUAAUCGGAAUUACUGGGCGUAAAGCGCGCGUAGGUGGCUUGAUAAGCCGGUUGUGAAAGCCCCGGGCUCAACCUGGGAACGGCAUCCGGAACUGUCAAGCUAGAGUGAAGGAGAGGAAGGUAGAAUUCCCGGUGUAGCGGUGAAAUGCGUAGAGAUCGGGAGGAAUACCAGUGGCGAAGGCGGCCCUCUGGACUGACACUGACGCUGAGGUGCGAAAGCGUGGGUAGCAAACAGGAUUAGAUACCCGAGUAGUC